rnacentral:lncRNA from 1 species
AAAGUUUAAAUUUAAAUUCAAGUAUAUAUAUAUAUAUAUAUAUAUAUAUCUUUUUUGUCACAGAUUCAAGUAUAUUCUAAGACUCAAAUUAUAUACUUAUUCAGAAUAUAACCAUCAAAAACUUGUAAUUAUUCAACAUGUCUAAGCUUUUAUUUAGAAUCUCGAAAUUUAAAUUGCAAUUUUUAUUACUUUCUAUAGAUUAUGCACUUUAAUAAUAAAACUAAACAACAUGAUAAUCAAAACACAAAAGAAACACUAAAAGUAAGUGUCAAUCAGUAAACUUCUUUCUCAUUGGUCGAGAAGGGCAAGGAUUACCGGUCAUUAUAUCAAAGCCGUCUAUCUCACCUCCUUUUACAUUAUUCUUCUUCUUUUUAAUAGCAAUCCUAGUGAUUCUUUUCUAUUGGCUUAUACAAGAAAGUGGGGAUAACUUCUUUUUGUAAUCUUAACUGUUGAUGAAUUUAAUCUAAGGGACAUAAACAUUUGCUUCUUUUUUUUAAUGGGUUUUCUCUCUCUCGAUCUCUGCUCCUCUCAUCUUCUACCGUAAACCUGAAAGAAAAAUCUCUACUCUAAUCAAGAAACCACCUCUGAAUCGUCGAGUUUGAGUCUUACACCGUUUGAAUUCGAACCUUUCUUUGUAAAGUUCUGAGCUUUACUCAUGGCAGCUUAUGCUCGUACCUUCGCCUCGUUGACCCAUCUCCAGCAAACCUUCUCGCCGCCGAUACCUCUUCUCCGACGACAUCACAGCG